rnacentral:rRNA from 1 species
UAAGCAUAUCAAUAAGCGGAGGAAAAGAAACUAACAAGGAUUCCCCUAGUAACUGCGAGUGAAGCGGGAAAAGCUCAAAUUUAAAAUCUGGUGGUCUUUGGCCAUCCGAGUUGUAAUUUAGAGAAGCGUCUUCCGCGCUGGACCAUGCACAAGUCUCCUGGAAUGGAGCGUCAUAGAGGGUGAGAAUCCCGUCUUUGGCAUGGACCCCAGGGCUUCUGUGAUGCGCUCUCAAAGAGUCGAGUUGUUUGGGAAUGCAGCUCAAAAUGGGUGGUGAACUCCAUCUAAAGCUAAAUAUUGGCGAGAGACCGAUAGCGAACAAGUACCGUGAGGGAAAGAUGAAAAGCACUUUGGAAAGAGAGUGAAACAGUACGUGAAAUUGUUGAAAGGGAAACGCUUGAAGUCAGUCGCGUCGACCGAGACUCAGCCUUGCCUUGGCUUGGUGUACUUCUCGGCUGACGGGUCAGCAUCAAUUUCGAUCCUUGGAUAAUGGCAAGGGAAAGGUAGCACCUUUAYAGGUGUGUUAUAGUCCUCUGUCGGAYGCAAGGGUUGGGAUUGAGGAACUCAGCACGCGCCUUGUCGGUGUCGGGGCCUUUUGGCCUACGUACGUGCUUAGGAUGCUGGCAUAAUGGCUUUAAACGACCCGUCUUGAAACACGGACCAAGGAGUCUAACAUGCACGCGAGUGUUCGGGUGGAAAACCCGUGCGCGUAAUGAAAGUAAAAGUUGGGACCUCUGUCGUGGAGGGCACCGACGCCCGGACCAGACCUUCUGUGACGGCUCUGCGGUAGAGCGUGUAUGUUGGGACCCGAAAGAUGGUGAACUAUGCCUGAAUAGGGUGAAGCCAGAGGAAACUCUGGUGGAGGCUCGUAGCGAUUCUGACGUGCAAAUCGAUCGUCAAAUUUGGGUAUAGGGGCGAAAGACUAAUCGAACCAUCUAGUAGCUGGUUCCUGCCGAAG